rnacentral:rRNA from 1 species
AGAGCGAACGCUGGCGGCAGGCCUAACACAUGCAAGUCGAACGGACCCUUCGGGGUUAGUGGCGGACGGGUGAGUAACACGUGGGAACGUGCCUUUAGGUUCGGAAUAGCUCCUGGAAACGGGUGGUAAUGCCGAAUGUGCCCUUCGGGGGAAAGAUUUAUCGCCUUUAGAGCGGCCCGCGUCUGAUUAGCUUAGUUGGUGAGGUAAAGUCGUCUACCAACGGA